ACAGUUUGUACCCAGGGAAGAGUGCACUAAGGUCUUCAGUCUUUUCCUCAUCGUUUGUUCUGUGUUUCCACCCACAUCCAGGAAAAGACAGAGAUUCUCCUUAGCCCUCCUUUUGUUGCUGAUGGAUUUACAGAAGCAUUUUUAUCCUCUUUGCAAUUUUCUAAGAAGAAAUUCUCUACAGUGAGGCUGUUGAGGCACUGGGAACAAGUUGCCCAGAGGAGCUGUGGAUGCCUAAGGAAGGGUUUGCAUCUGCCCCUGCUCUCUCCACUUCCCUUCUUAGUCAUGACAUGGGGGGCCUGAAGCAACUCCAGACUGAGGACAAGGUGAACAUGGCUCAGGCUCACACAGAGAUCUGACUGCCUACAGCCUUACCAAGCAGUUUUCUCUGGACACUUCCAAUGUUCUCUUACCCACAAAGUCUUUGUCUCCCAUCCAGAAGAGCUCUAAUUCCUCCAAGCUCAGGAAGAAGCUGCUGCCUGUCUGAAGAGUGUCACAAGAAUAGGAUUUAUGUGUUAGGCUUCAUAGUUAGAUAUGGAUAUAUAUUCUGAUAUUUAGAUGUCGUUUUGAAUAAAGGUUUUGAUUGUAUCUUUCAA